UUUGACCUCAAAUCAGGUAGGACUACCCGCUGAACUUACGCAUAUCCCU
rnacentral:rRNA from 1 species